rnacentral:rRNA from 1 species
UAAGGAAUAUUGGUCAAUGCCCGGAAGGGUGAACCAGCCAUCCCGCGUGAAGGAUGAAGGGGCUCUGCCUUGUAAACUUCUUUUGUAUGGGGCGAAAAAAGGGGAUUUAUCCUCGACUGACGGUACCAUAAGAAUAAGCACCGGCUAACUCCGUGCCAGCAGCCGCGGUAAUACGGAGGGUGCGAACGUUAUCCGGAAUCACUGGGUUUAAAGGGUGCGUAGGCUGUUUAAUAAGUCAGUGGUGAAAGGCCGUCGCUUAACGAUGGGACUGCCAUUGAUACUGUUAGACUUGAAUCAGGUUGAGGUUGGCGGAAUGUGGCAUGUAGCGGUGAAAUGCAUAGAUAUGCCAUGGAAUACCGAUUGCGAAGGCAGCUGACUGGACCUUGAUUGACGCUGAGGCACGAAAGCGUGGGUAGCGAACAGG